rnacentral:rRNA from 1 species
CACUACGCUGGCGGCAGGCCUAACACAUGCAAGUCGAGCGGUAACAGAAAGUAGCUUGCUACUUUGCUGACGAGCGGCGGACGGGUGAGUAAUGCUUGGGAACAUGCCUUGAGGUGGGGGACAACAGUUGGAAACGACUGCUAAUACCGCAUAAUGUCUACGGACCAAAGGGGGCUUCGGCUCUCGCCUUUAGAUUGGCCCAAGUGGGAUUAGCUAGUUGGUGAGGUAAUGGCUCACCAAGGCGACGAUCCCUAGCUGGUUUGAGAGGAUGAUCAGCCACACUGGGACUGAGACACGGCCCAGACUCCUACGGGAGGCAGCAGUGGGGAAUAUUGCACAAUGGGCGCAAGCCUGAUGCAGCCAUGCCGCGUGUGUGAAGAAGGCCUUCGGGUUGUAAAGCACUUUCAGUCAGGAGGAAAGGUUAGUAGUUAAUACCUGCUAGCUGUGACGUUACUGACAGAAGAAGCACCGGCUAACUCCGUGCCAGCAGCCGCGUUUAUUACGG